UGGAUCAAUGAUGAGUAGCCUGGGGAGUCUGAAUCAAGGACUUUGAUUAAUCCCUAUACCUCUGAGAUCCAU
ensembl:snoRNA small nucleolar RNA, C/D box 113-9